GGGUAGCUUACAUGGCAAGUCGAGCGAGAAGCUGAUGACAGAUACUNUCUGUUGAAGGAGUCAGUGGAAAGCGGCGGACGGGUGAGUAACGCGUAGGCAACCUGCCCUUUGCACAGGGAUAGCCAUUGGAAACGAUGAUUAAAACCUGAUAACACCAUUUGGUUACAUGAGCAGAUGGUCAAAGAUUUAUCGGCAGAGGAUGGGCCUGCGUCUGAUUAGCUAGUUGGUAAGGUAACGGCUUACCAAGGCGACGAUCAGUAGCCGACCUGAGAGGGUGAACGGCUACAUUGGAACUGAGACACGGUCCAAACUCCUACGGGAGGCAGCAGUGGGGAAUAUUGCACAAUGGGCGAAAGCCUGAUGCAGCAACGCCGCGUGAAGGAAGAAGGCCUUCGGGUCGUAAACUUCUGUCCUUGGGGAAGAAGAACUGACGGUACCCAAGGAGGAAGCCCCGGCUAACUACGUGCCAGCAGCCGCGGUAAUACGUAGGGGGCAAGCGUUAUCCGGAAUUAUUGGGCGUAAAGAGUACGUAGGUGGCAACCUAAGCGCAGGGUUUAAGGCAAUGGCUCAACCAUUGUUCGCCCUGCGAACUGGGAUGCUUGAGUGCAGGAGAGGAAAGCGGAAUUCCUAGUGUAGCGGUGAAAUGCGUAGAUAUUAGGAGGAACACCAGUGGCGAAGGCGGCUUUCUGGACUGUAACUG
rnacentral:rRNA from 1 species